GUGACUGUAGCUCAAUUGGAUAGAGCGUCGGUUUGUGAAACCGGAGGUCGCGGGUUCAAUCCCCGUCAGUCACC
rnacentral:tRNA from 1 species